GACGAACGCUGGCGGCGUGCUUAACACAUGCAAGUCGAACGGAAAGGCCCUGCUUUUGUGGGGUGCUCGAGUGGCGAACGGGUGAGUAACACGUGAGUAACCUGCCCUUGACUUUGGGAUAACUUCAGGAAACUGGGGCUAAUACCGGAUAGGAGCUCCUGCUGCAUGGUGGGGGUUGGAAAGUUUCGGCGGUUGGGGAUGGACUCGCGGCUUAUCAGCUUGUUGGUGGGGUAGUGGCUUACCAAGGCUUUGACGGAUAGCCGGCCUGAGAGGGUGACCGACGACAUUGGGACUGAGAUACAGCCCAGACACCUACGGGAGGCAGCAGUGGAGAAUAUUGCACAAUGAGCGGAAGCCUGAUGCAGCAACGCCGCGUGCGGGAUGACGGCCUUCGGGUUGUAAUCCGCUUUCGCCUGUGACGAAGCGUGAGUGACGGUAAUGGGUAAAGAAGCACCGGCUAACUACGUG
rnacentral:rRNA from 1 species